UCCGGUUUGUCACCGGCAGUCUCCUUAAAGUUCCCACCAUUACGUGCUGGCAAGUAAGGACAAGGGUUGCGCUCGUUACGGGACUUAACCCAACAUCUCACGACACGAGCUGACGACAGCCAUGCAGCACCUGUCACUCGGUUCCCGAAGGCACUCCCCCAUCUCUGGGGGAUUCCGAGGAUGUCAAGACCUGGUAAGGUUCUUCGCGUUGCGUCGAAUUAAACCACAUGCUCCACCGCUUGUGCGGGCCCCCGUCAAUUCAUUUGAGUUUUAACCUUGCGGCCGUACUCCCCAGGCGGUCAACUUAGCGCGUUAGCUGCGCCACUAGGGAGACAAGCUCCCCAACGGCUAGUUGACAUCGUUUACAGCAUGGACUAC
rnacentral:misc_RNA from 1 species